rnacentral:lncRNA from 1 species
AUAUGCAUGUGCUAUACAUAAGAAAAUCAAGAUAAAAAAUCUUUGAUAUGGGAUGAAAUCGAGAUGCAUAGAAAAUCACAUAUAAUGGGUGCUUGCGUGUGGUCUAAGUAGUACAGAGCGAGAAGAUAAUUGGGAGCCUAUGUCCAUUCAUGCAUACCUGCUUGCAUACAUGUGUACUGCCUUGUUAGAUUACUAUAUACGCACCACGUCGACAGAGCUUGUUGGCAUGUUCUGCAUAGAUGACGAUACGCAAGAAGGUAAUGGAUCUGAAAAUAAUGCAAAUAAUAAGGAAUCAAGAAUGUCUAGUGUAGAUUAGUCUUGAACUCUCGAUGGGCAUCAACCAAGUAAUGAACCACAUGGCAGACUGUUGUAGCAAAUAUCCAAGUUCUGUAGGCCGGUGGGACAACCUGAUUUGUGUGAGGAACUGAAGAUGGACCAAACAAACAACAAGUAUAAGAAGGUAUUAAGGCAAGGGAGUGACAUGGAGUUCAGAUGAGAUCUGUACCAUUGUGGUAGUGGUGGCUGGUGGUAAAAAGAGGAGAUGCUAUGGAUGAUAGGCAGUAGCACCAAAAUCUGAAUCAACCCAUCUAGAAUUUUCAGUGUGUAGUUGUGUGCAAACCUUGACAAAUGAUGUCCAGCUAGGCUUUGUUUGGCUGCACCUGUGCAGAGUUGUGGGCA